UACGUAGGGGGCAAGCGUUGUCCGGAUUUAUUGGGCGUAAAGAGCGUGUAGGCGGUUUGGUAGGUCCGCUGUGAAAACUCGAGGCUCAACCUCGAGACGCCGGUGGAAACCAUCAGACUAGAGUCCGGAAGAGGAGAGUGGAAUCCCUGGUGUAGCGGUGAAAUGCGCAGAUAUCAGGAAGAACACCCGUGGCUAAGGCGGCUCUCUAGUACGGUACUGACGCUGAGACGCGAAAGCGUGGGGAGCGAACAGG
rnacentral:rRNA from 1 species